rnacentral:rRNA from 1 species
CGUAGUUGAUCAUGGCUCAGAACGACGCUGGCGGCAGGCUUAACACAUGCAAGUCGAGCGCCCCGCAAGGGGAGCGGCAGACGGGUGAGUAACGCGUGGGAAUCUACCCAUCUCUACGGAAUAACUCAGGGAAACUUGUGCUAAUACCGUAUACGCCCUUCGGGGGAAAGAUUUAUCGGAGAUGGAUGAGCCCGCGUUGGAUUAGCUAGUUGGUGGGGUAAAGGCCUACCAAGGCGACGAUCCAUAGCUGGUCUGAGAGGAUGAUCAGCCACACUGGGACUGAGACACGGCCCAGACUCCUACGGGAGGCAGCAGUGGGGAAUAUUGGACAAUGGGCGCAAGCCUGAUCCAGCCAUGCCGCGUGAGUGAUGAAGGCCCUAGGGUUGUAAAGCUCUUUCACCGGUGAAGAUAAUGACGGUAACCGGAGAAGAAGCCCCGGCUAACUUCGUG